rnacentral:rRNA from 1 species
AUUGAACGCUGGCGGCAGGCCUAACACAUGCAAGUCGAGCGAGCGGCGGACGGGUGAGUAAUGUAUGGGGACUGCCCGAUAGAGGGGGAUAAGUACUGGAAACGGUGGCUAAUACUGCAUACUAUCGGAUAACCCAUAUGGGAUUAGCUAGUAGGUGGGGUAAAGGCUCACCUAGGCGACGAUCUCUAGCUGGGCUGAGAGGAUGAUCAGCCACACUGGGACUGAGACACGGCCCAGACUCCUCCGGAGGCAGCAGUGGGGAAUAUUAGACAAUGGGCGAAAGCCUGAUGCAGCCACGCCGCGUGUGUGAAGAAGGCAUUAGGGUUGUAAAGUACUUUCAGCGGGGAGGCGUUACCCACAGAAGAAGCAACGGCUAACUACGUGCCAGCAGCCGCGGUAAUAC